rnacentral:rRNA from 1 species
AUUGAACGCUGGCGGCAGGCCUAACACAUGCAAGUCGAGCGAGCGGCGGACGGGUGAGUAAUGUAUGGGGAACUGCCCGAUGGAGGGGGAUAACUACUGGAAACGGUAGCUAAUACCGCAUACUAUCGGAUGUGCCCAUAUGGGAUUAGCUAGUAGGUGGGGUAAUGGCUCACCUAGGCGACGAGCCCUAGCUGGUCUGAGAGGAUGAUCAGCCACACUGGGACUGAGACACGGUCCAGACUCCUACGGGAGGCAGCAGUGGGGAAUAUUGCACAAUGGGCGCAAGCCUGAUGCAGCCAUGCCGCGUGUGUGAAGAAGGCCUUAGGGUUGUAAAGUACUUUCAGCGGGGAGGCGUUACCGGCAGAAGAAGCACCGGCUAACUCCGUGCCAGCAGCCGCGGUAAUUC